GGAUAUGCUGCUUUACUGCACUGCUGUCUAUGGAGACAGCGCAUGUCUGGGUGGUCCUAACAUUGAUGAUUUUGGCUGCUUCUGCUUUAGAUAGAACCUCUGCCCGGAAUAUCUCCGGAGAUACACCACUAAACCAGGAGAAACUUAAUGCGGAGUGUCAGACAUCAGGAUAGGAAAGUCACCCUUAAAGUAGCGGAGACUCCAGAAAGUCAAGGAACAGAUCAACCCACAACCUUAUACAAGAGUGAGAAAGAUGCCUGGCGGCAUUAAAAUGCACACCGAAGUAUGGGAAUACACCAUGGAUUUUUCCAAGUGUUGCAAAAUUAUCCCUUUUUUGGGAGUAGCAACAGGUUUGGGUCUGGCAAGUGAAGAUUACAUGGAUUAUCCCAAGUGUUUGAAACAUUCUCAUUUUUGGAAGUUGCAACAGU